CCCGGGGAGUCGACGGGUAGCUUCGUGCGAGUGAGACCGAGCAAAAGCUCAAAUUUGAAAUCUGGCACUUUCAGUGUCCGAGUUGUAAUUUGAAGAAGGUAUCUUUGGGUCUGGCUCUUGUCUAUGUUUCUUGGAACAGAACGUCACAGAGGGUGAGAAUCCCGUGCGAUGAGAUGUCCCAGACCUAUGUAAAGUUCCUUCGAAGAGUCGAGUUGUUUGGGAAUGCAGCUCUAAGUGGGUGGUAAAUUCCAUCUAAAGCUAAAUAUUGGCGAGAGACCGAUAGCGAACAAGUACAGUGAUGGAAAGAUGAAAAGAACUUUGAAAAGAGAGUGAAAAAGUACGUGAAAUUGUUGAAAGGGAAGGGCUUGAGAUCAGACUUGGUAUUUUGUAUGUUACUCUCUCGGGGGUGGCCUCUACAGUUUACCGGGCCAGCAUCAGUUUGAGCGGUAGGAUAAGUGCAAAGAAAUGUGGCACUGCUUCGGUAGUGUGUUAUAGUCUUUGUCGAUACUGCCAGCUUAGACUGAGGACUGCGGCUUCGGCCUAGGAUGUUGGCAUAAUGAUCUUAAGUCGCCCGUCUUAA
rnacentral:rRNA from 1 species